rnacentral:tRNA from 1 species
GGAGAGGUGGCUGAGUGGUCGAAAGCGGCAGAUUGCUAAUCUGUUACAUAGUUCAAUGUCAAGGGUUCAAACCCCUUUCUCUCUU